rnacentral:rRNA from 1 species
CCCUUAGAUGUUCGGGGCCGCACGCGCGCUACACUGAAGGAAUCAGCACGUCUUUCUCCUUGUCCGAAAUGACUGGGUAACCCGCUGAACCUCCUUCGUGCUAGGGAUUGGGGCUUGUAAUUCUUCCCCAUGAACGAGGAAUUCCCAGUAAGCGCGAGUCAUAAGCUCGCGUUGAUUACGUCCCUGCCCUUUGUACACACCGCCCGUCGCUACUACCGAUUGGAUGGUUUAGUGAGAUCCUCGGAUUGGUCCCGGCGCGGCCUCUGGUCGUGCCGGAGUGCCGAAAAGAAUGUCGAACUUGAUCAUCUAGAGGAAGUAAAAGUCGUAACA